rnacentral:rRNA from 1 species
UUGGCCUACGGGACGCAGCAGUGGGGGAUAUUGCACAAUGGGGGGAACCCUGAUGCAGCGACGCCGCGUGGGUGAAGGAGUGCUUCGGCAUGUAAAGCCCUAUCAGCAGGGAAGAAGAAAUGACGGUACCUGAGUAAGAAGCACCGGCUAAAUACGUGCCAGCAGCCGCGGUAAUACGUAUGGUGCAAGCGUUAUCCGGAUUUACUGGGUGUAAAGGGAGCGCAGGCGGCACGGCAAGCCUGAUGUGAAAGCCCGCGGCCCAACCGCGGGACUGCAUUGGGAACUACCCGGCUCGAGUGCCGUAG